AGUGAACGCUGGCGGUAGGCCUAACACAUGCAAGUCGAACGGCAGCACAGUAAGAGCUUGCUCUUACGGGUGGCGAGUGGCGGACGGGUGAGGAAUACAUCGGAAUCUACUUUUUCGUGGGGGAUAACGUAGGGAAACUUACGCUAAUACCGCAUACGACCUACGGGUGAAAGCAGGGGAUCUUCGGACCUUGCGCGAUUGAAUGAGCCGCUGUCGGGUUAGCUAGUUGGCGGGGUAAAAGCCCACCAAGGCGACGAUCCGUAGCUGGUCUGAGAGGAUGGUCAGCCACAGUGGAGCUGAGACACGGUCCAGACUCCUACGGGAGGCAGCAGUGGGGAAUAUUGGACAGUGGGCGCAAGCCUGAUCCAGCCAUACAGCGUGGGUGAAGAAGGCCUGCGGGUGGUAAAGCCCUUUUGUUGGGAAAGAAAAGCAGCAGGUUAAUACCCCGCUGUUCGGACGGUACCCAAAGAAUAAGCACCGGCUAACUUCGU
rnacentral:rRNA from 1 species